GACAGAGGGUGCAAACGUUGUUCGGAUUUACUGGGCGUAAAGGGCGCGUAGGCGGUAGCACAAGUCAGUUGUGAAAUCUCCGGGCUUAACUCGGAAAGGUCAACUGAUACUGUGCGACUAGAGUGCAGAAGGGGCAACUGGAAUUCUCGGUGUAGCGGUGAAAUGCGUAGAUAUCGAGAGGAACACCUGCGGCGAAGGCGGGUUGCUGGGCUGACACUGACGCUGAGGCGCGAAAGCCAGGGGAGCGAACGGG
rnacentral:rRNA from 1 species